UCCAGACUCCUACGGGAGGCAGCAGUGAGGAAUAUUGGUCAAUGGGCUAAGGCCUGAACCAGCCAAGUCGCGUGAGGGAAGACGGUCCUAUGGAUUGUAAACCUCUUUUGUCGGGGAGCAACGAGGCCACGUGUGGCCGAAGUGAGAGUACCCGAAGAAAAAGCAUCGGCUAACUACGUGCCAGCAGCCGCGGUAAUACGUAGGGGGCAAGCGCUAUCCGGAUUUACUGGGUGUAAAGGGAGCGUAGACGGUUAUGCAAGUCUGGAGUGAAAGGCGGGGGCUCAACCCCCGGACUGCUCUGGAAACUGUAGAACUAGAGUGCAGGGGGGGUAAGUGGAAUUCCUAGUGUAGCGGUGAAAUGCGUAGAUAUUAGGAGGAACACCAGUGGCGAAGGCGGCUUACUGGACUGUAACUGACACUGAGGCACGAAAGCGUGGGGAGCAAACAGGAUUAGAUACCCGGGUAU
rnacentral:rRNA from 1 species